CUAUUGUUGUGAGAUGAGUUGUAUCUGGACUUGUCGUGUGCGCGGCUGUGGCGUCUCUGAUUUUGCGCAGCAGGGUCAGAUAUUCUUUAUUGGAUGUGCGUUUGACAUGUGAGGAAAGGAGCCUCUCAUCGUAAUUGUGAGUGGCGCGUGGUCAGACCACACUAUGUCGCCAAUUUCACACUGAGUAGUUCUCGGUAUCAGUGUUCCCGAUACCAG